GACGAACGCUGGCGGCGUGCCUAACACAUGCAAGUCGAACGAGGUCCAUGGAGUGGCAACACUCCGGAAGACCUAGUGGCGAACGGGUGAGUAACACGUGAAGAACUUGCCCCGGAGACCGGGAUAACCCUCCGAAAGGAGAGCUAAUACCGGAUGUCCUCGCUGAGUCGCAUGGCUCGGCGAAGAAAUGGAUUCCGCUCCGGGAGAGCUUCGCGGCCUAUCAGCUUGUCGGCGGGGUAACGGCCCACCAAGGCAUCGACGGGUAGCUGGUCUGAGAGGACGAUCAGCCACACUGGGACUGAGACACGGCCCAGGCGCCUACGGGAGGCAGCAGUGGGGAAUCUUGCGCAAUGGGCGAAAGCCUGACGCAGCAACGCCGCGUGCGGGAUGAAGGCCCUCGGGUUGUAAACCGCUUUCAGUGGGGACGAACCAAGACGGUACCCACAGAAGAAGCCCCGGCCAACUACGUGCCAGCAGCCGCGGUAACAC
rnacentral:rRNA from 1 species